CCUACGGGGGGCAGCAGUAGGGAAUCUUCCACAAUGGGCGAAAGCCUGAUGGAGCAACGCCGCGUGGGUGAAGAAGGUCUUCGGAUCGUAAAACCCUGUUGUUAGAGAAGAAAGUGCGUGAGAGUAACUGUUCACGUUUCGACGGUAUCUAACCAGAAAGCCACGGCUAACUACGUGCCAGCAGCCGCGGUAAUACGUAGGUGGCAAGCGUUAUCCGGAUUUAUUGGGCGUAAAGGGAACGCAGGCGGUCUGUUAAGUCUGAUGUGAAAGCCUUCGGCUUAACCGGAGUAGUGCAUUGGAUACUGGGAGACGUGAGUGCAGAAGAGGAGAGUGGAACUCCAUGUGUAGCGGUGAAAUGCGUAGAUAUAUGGAAGAACACCAGUGGCGAAGGCGGCUCUCUGGUCUGUAACUGACGCUGAGGUUCGAAAGCGUGGGUAGCAAACAGGAUUAGAUACCCGUGUAGUC
rnacentral:rRNA from 1 species